CACGUAGGCACCAAGCGUUGUCCGGAUUUAUUGGGCGUAAAGCGCACGUAGGCGGAUUGUUAAGUCAGGGGUGAAAUCCUGGAGCUCAACUCCAGAACUGCCUUUGAUACUGACGGUCUUGAGUUCGGGAGAGGUGAGUGGAACUGCGAGUGUAGAGGUGAAAUUCGUAGAUAUUCGCAAGAACACCAGUGGCGAAGGCGGCUCACUGGCCCGAUACUGACGCUGAGGUGCGAAAGCGUGGGGAGCAAACAGG
rnacentral:rRNA from 1 species